GGUCCCUUCACUGGUCUGGAGGCUGAUCUCUAAAUCCAAAGGAGUUCUGGACUAUAGAUGGCAAAGGACCAGCAUGCAGUGCUCAGAGCCAUCAGUUGCCUUUUCCCAGCUCUGGAAGUUUUUGAUUCCCUCUGGGUCUUAACCAUGAGCAAACACCAAGGACCAUCAGACCCCUAAGCAAAGUCUUUGCAAGACAGAAGCCACAGAAAACAACUUGAAGUCUGAAGGCUUAAACUUUAAACCUAUACGAAGGAAAAUGUCUACUGAGAAGUGAGGUGCUCUAGCAAGUCAAACGACAGUACUGAGUUCCUGCUGAGAGAUCUGUGAGCUGUUCUGUCCCAUAAACAGUAUCUUUAUGUUAUUUUCAUGUUGGGGGCGGGGAGAUAAUAGUAGAUGGGGAUUAAUGCCAAAGGGUAAACUAUUAAGACAUGGAAGAAAGGACAGAACCAGAGCCUGUAUUUAGCCUCGUUGUGCAAGCAGUCUCAGAGCUGCUCAGCUAACAGCCUGCUCCUCUCCCUGUAUUUCACACUAGGAUUUUUUUCUCUUCCAUGUAAACUCCCAUCAUCCUCCCAUGUGUCUGUCUUUAUUUCUUGGUGUCUCUUCUUCCUGAAGAUCACUACAUUUCAAGCUGUCCAAAAGGUAUCCAGCUGGAAUGUGCUGUCAGCUUGCUGUCUGCUCCACCACUAUUGAUUGGCUAGUCGUUUUGAAUUGAUAGCUGGGCAGUGUCACAUGACUUUCCACCCUCCCUCUCAGUGGGAAUGGCUGUUCUCUGUGGACCUGUUGUUUGAUUUGGCAGAAUUGAGAGGUAGGAGAGAGGAUGGAAAGCCUGUGUAUCUUUGUCCAACUUUUGGAUGCUGUUGCCUGGUAUAUGCCUGGAUCUUGCUUUUCAUGUUUGGGCUAUUUCCUAAAUCUUAAAUAAGAAAAGGCCAUAAAGUCUUACAUUAACUUUUCAAUGUUGCUUUUUAAAACAUCUUACCCAUCCUUGUAAUCUUUGUGGCACAGUUGUUAGGAGUAGUCUGAAGAAACACAACCGGCUGGUAUGAGGAAAGAAGACUGUAGAAAGAAAGUGGCCCUUCCUAAGUUCAGGAUUGCUGCUGCCUUUGGCAAACCAGACCCUGCAUCCAAAGGUGGCAUGUAGCAUUCUCAAAGGAGACCUUGGCUUGUAGCCAUGAUCGAUUGAUCGAUCGAUCGUUGUGAGCUUUGUUUGUGUCUUUAUGUUUCAUUCUUCACUGUGUUUCAACAUUUCAGAAGUACGAAACCUCCUGCUCCCCAUAGAUGACUCUUUUUGUGACCCCUUCAUUCAUUCUCUCCUUCAUUUCUUCUCUCCUGUUGUUUUCUUUUUGUUCCUUGCAACUUCCCAGGAUUGUUAGUUGUUUUUUGUUUUUUUUAUUUAGGCUUUGUUUCUUUCUUUCUUUUUUUUUUUAAGUUCCUCUUUAAUUUAAGCACAAACACACUCUAUCUUGCAUUUGAAAAAACAACCUGUCCUGUUAACCAUAUCACUUUAACCCAAUUGUUCUUUGUAUUUUCUAAGGAGCCACUUCAGUUCGAAAAGAAGUCAUCAGGAAUAAAAUCCGAGCCAUUGGGAAAAUGGCACGGGUCUUUACAGUUCUUCGGGAAGAGAGUGAGAAUGUGCUGAUUCUCAAGGGCCUCACUCCCACAGGCACACUCCCACUCGGGGUCCUCUCUGGAGGAAAGCAGACCAUUGAGACUGCCAAACUACAAGCAGCAGAGGAGCGGGAAGCCAUCAGAGGUUUUACAAUUGCACACAGGAUCCGAAGUUUUGAAGAAGCCCGAGGUCUAGACCGAAUUAAUGAGAGAAUGCCACCCCGAAAAGAGGCUUCUUAUCACCAUGAUGCAGGAAAGACACACCCACACCCGUCAAAAAGGAGCGACCAUGGAAAGAAAGCCCUGUAAUGACUCAGGGCCCUGUGCAGCUGGGACCCAACCCCAUGAACAAAUCAUAUUUAUUUAUACUGGAAUUUAAACAGGAACAACUCAAACAACUUAAA
rnacentral:lncRNA from 1 species